ensembl:lncRNA
GGAUAGGAAAAUCCAGAGCAGAGCCUGGGGGCCAAGAGCCUGAGGGACAGUGACUGUCGUAGCUGGGAAACUGCAAAGCGCUGAGGCCAAAGGGAGGACCCAGCCCUAGAGGACUGUGGGUAAGAGUCACUUCUAGGCCUCUCUGGGCCAUCUUCUCUGGAAGCCCCACCUAAGGAGGUCACUCUGCAGCGGGGGUAGAUGGGCUGACACUGGUGUUCUUGAACAAGGGCCCAAGCUGUCGGAGGAGGAGAAGGAGGUCAGUAGGACUGAACAGGACAGGGGCAGGGCUGGAAUGAGGUGAGCGGGGCGGCAUCAGUGAGUAGGCAGGGAGAGGGGAGCUGAGCAUGGGGGUGGGGGGCGUCAGUGGGCGGUGCAGAAAUGAGGUGAUUUGGGCUCUCACUGGGAGCUGCAAGUCUUCCUCUGUUUUGUCUAACUCCUCUGAGCCCAGAGGCUGCAUGUCCUCUGUGCUGCACAGGGUGGGUGGACAGGGCAGGGCCAGAGACUGCAGUGAGAGUGGGAGAGCAGUUACACCUCAAGUCACUGCCUGGGCUAGAGCUAGGGGUCAUGGGGAGAGUCUUGGUGCACAUAACUGUUGCCCAAUGUAUUCACAUCUGGUGCAGGAGCUCAGAACGUCUCCUCCCAGAAUGGGAAACUUUGUUUUAUUGUUCUAUUAGUGAUAAUGAUAACAACAAUGACAAUAAAAAUAGUAGUGAUAAUAACAACUGACGUUCGGUAGGUGCUUACUCCAUGCUCUGUGCUAAGCACUUUCCAUCCAGGAUCUCAUAUGUUCCACACACAACCCUUGGAGGGGAGGCCUGUUACUUACCCCCAACUGACACAGGUUGAGACUGAGUUUCAGAGAGGUUAAGUCACUUCCCCAAGGCCACACAGCUAUUUUAGAGCAAAAGCUCAGACUCUAGGGUUUGAAUGACUUAGAGUUGAGUCCUGUGCAUCUGCUGGCUGUGCGGCCUCAGAAAAUCACUGAGCCCCCAAGAACCAGCCUGUGCCUCUCUCAAAUGGAGAAACAGCAGUGUCUACCUGCAGUGGCUGAAGGUCAUACGUGUGAAGCAAGGUCCCUGUUAUGUGACAAUCAGUGAAGGCUGCUGUCAUUGCUUUGCUGUACUGUUGUUAUUAUUAUGCCUGCUUUCUCUGCCCACCCCUCUAUCCCCUGCCCCUUGGGAAUUAGUCCUGGGUUUGCCCUUGACGGUGUCCAUUCCAUUCUGGGAGAAGGGGAAGUUUCAGGAAUUGUUCCAGAAGGCACCACUGGAUCUGGCCUCACUGACUGACCCCUCCAGGUCCCCUGAGGCCAACAUGGUCACGAGUUGGUCCUGGCAGGUCACCUGGGAAGGGCUGUAAAAAUGGCCACAAAUUCCUCAGCUCCCUGCAACGACACCUUCAACAUGGUGUUGCAGCCCCUGAGACCAAGGUGGGGAGGCCACCUCCACCCCAUGACUCCGGCUUGGCCAUGACUUGCUUUGGUCAAAGGGAUGAGAGAAACCUGAUGCGAGCAAAGGCUGGAAAAAUGCUUGUGUUCUGGGGCUUGCCCUCUGGGAGCUCUGUGAGCACAUGAAUGAGCCGGGGCUGGUCUGCUGGAUGCUGAGGUCAGAGGAAGGACAACCAAGGCGACCUCUCCAUCAGUCAGGUGUCCUCCAGGAGCAGUCACCCAGCUCACCUGCAGGCAAUGGCAGACACGUAAGGAAGCCCCGUUCAAGCCAGAGGCGCUGCCCAGCUGACCUGCACACUAGUGAGCAGUAAUCAAUGAUCAGUGUUUUAAUCCAGUAAAUGUGCGGGUUGUUUGUUAUGCAGUAAAACUAACUGAUACCAAACCUUAACAGAAAGCAAGGGGUGGAUUAAAAGGAGCCACUGCUUCAGUCUGGAACUGAGAACCUGGAGUCACAGAGCUCUCCAAACCCAGGGGUGGAGCUGGACGGGUCUGUGGUGAGGGUAUAGACCCAAAGGUUCAUCCUCCCACUCUGUCCCCCAGCCUUGAGCUGCCUGUGCAUGAUCUCUGGUCCUUCUCAAGGCUAAGCAUGGAGGCAUGGAGGUGGGAAGGAAGGAGACACAGAGGGAAGGCUCUUUCUGUAGAGGUGGAGGAGACUGGAGCCUCUGGGGUUCUCAAGGAGGGUAUAGAAGUCACAGAACCUGAGGAGGAAGCAUCAGAUGAGAACGGGGCAGCCUCAUCACCUUGGAGAUGCCCAAGAUGGGGGCCCUGAUGCCCAGCCUGUCACAGAAGGUGGAGGUGGGGGUGGCCCUCGGUGGGGAAGAGGGACCUCACAAGGAAAAGAAGAGUGAGGAGAGAGAAAUCUCGAAGCAGACGUGGAUGUGUGCUCUGACCAGAGCUCAGAGCACCAAGAGAAGCAUCCACCUGGGGUGCAGGAGGAGACCCCUUUCCCUCACCGCAGAGACAGUCCCUGUGCAAGCCGGGCGACACCAUGGGGCUGGUGGCUCAGCUCUCAGCAGAGCCACUCCAUGUCCAGCGUGAGGUCCACAGAGUCAGGAUGGUGGACGCAGACAGUGUCAACCCCAGUGGCUGCUCCACCCUUUCGGGCCUGGGGAGAGAAGGACAUGUGUAUGGGGACAAAACAGAGGGACAUCUCUGGUUGGACAUCCGUUCAUCAGCCCACUUGUAUGUGGAUGCCUGCUCAUCUGCUCUCCUGGUCCACGCAUGAGCUGCUCACAAGGGAAGGGACAUCUUCAAGCCACAAAGGACCAGAGUGAAUGUUUAGAGUCAGGCGACCAUCGGUUCAAGUGACAAACCUUAGUUCUGUCACUUGUUGAAUAAUCAAUAUAAACACCUGUGACUCAGUUCUGCCAUCUUUGCAGUCUCUCUAGGGCAGCAGGAAAAACAAGGCCGAAGGGAUAAUCCAGGGAUCCAGCAGGUGGCGCUGCCAGAGAGCAUGACGGGGAGAAACAGUCUCCUAGCACCUCAGCAGGAUGGACGUGGCCUUGUGCUGAGGUGCUUGUAGCUCUGGUCUCCUAGAUUCUUGAUAAAGGUACAACAUCAGUUUUGUUGCCUGGGAUGCUGCUGAUGGUAAAAAUGGCCCCUAGUUGAUGACCUGCAUCUUUUCUGGGAGGACCAUAAAUGGACACCAAUACCUGGCAGGAAGCUAUAGCUUUGGGCUUCCUUGGUAUGUGGUGACCCUGUUAACUGUGCAGGACUGUUACAAGAGCUCGGUCCCCCCUUUGGGACAUAGGACAUCUAACCCAGAGUGGCUUUGGCACCUAUCCAUUGAGCUUUCGUUUCCGUGCUCAUGGGCAUUCACGUGGGACGACACAAGAACAGGCCCUGGACUGCCAGAGGGUGCUGGCAUGCCAUCUCCUGAGCACCCUUCUCAGGGAGUUGAAGUCACGUCGGGCUAUUCAGGUCUGCAAGUCUGACCGUCUGAUUGGAUUUAGGAUGACCUAGAGAGGGCAGUGCCCAGGUCUGGCACCAGGGCUGGGAACAGCAUGAGGUGAGCAAGGACCGAGGUACAACACUUAAGGAGCACUCCCUCUCAGGGUCGUGGAAGUACAGGGUUGGCACCUGAGGGUGAGCACCUCCUCAAAU